rnacentral:misc_RNA from 1 species
GAUGAAGAACGUAGCGAAACGCGAUAGGUAAUGUGAAUUGCAGAAUUCAGUGAAUCAUCGAAUCUUUGAACGCAUCUUGCGCUUGCUGGUAUUCCGGCAAGCAUGCCUGUUUGAGUGUCAUGAAACUUAUCAACCGUGACUUGGGUUUAGGCCCCUGGCUCGGCUUGGAUUUGGGUGCUUGCGGCCUCGUGCUGCUCACCUUAAAAGGAUUAGCUGGACAUGUCGUGAGACUUGGUUCUACUUGGCGUAAUAAGUAUUUCGCUGAGGACAUCCCCUCGUGGGGUGGCCAAGACUCUAGUGCAAACGUCUGCUUUCUAACCCGAUCGUCCUCGGACAUCACUUUUUAUGAUCUGGCCUCAAAUCAGGUAGGACUACCCGCUGAACUUAAGCAUAUCAAUAAGCGGAGGA